UACGAGGUGGGCAGCGUGUGCUCGGAAUCACUGGGCGUAAAGCGCACGUAGGCGGAUUGUUAAGUCAGGGGUGAAAUCCUGGAGCUCAACUCCAGAACUGCCUUUGAUACUGGCGAUCUUGAGUCCGGGAGAGGUGAGUGGAACUGCGAGUGUAGAGGUGAAAUUCGUAGAUAUUCGCAAGAACACCAGUGGCGAAGGCGGCUCACUGGCCCGGUACUGACGCUGAGGUGCGAAAGCGUGGGGAGCAAACAGG
rnacentral:rRNA from 1 species